UACGGAGGGUGCAAGCGUUGUUCGGAAUUAUUGGGCGUAAAGCGCGCGCAGGCGGUCUGGAAAGUCUAUGGGUGAAAUGCCGGGGCUCAACCCCGCGCAUGCCCAGGAUACUGUCAGACUGGAGACACGUAGAGGCAAGCGGAAUUUCGGGUGUAGCGGUGGAAUGCGUAGAUAUCAGGAGGAACACCGAUGGCGAAGGCAGCUCGCUGGGACGUGACUGACGCUGAGACGCGAAAGCGUGGGGAGCAAACAGG
rnacentral:rRNA from 1 species